GACGAACGCUGGCGGCGUGCUUAACACAUGCCAGUCGAACGGAAAGGCCCUGCUUUUGUGGGGUGCUCGAGUGGCGAACGGGUGAGUAACACGUGAGUAACCUGCCCUUGACUUUGGGAUAACUUCAGGAAACUGGGGCUAAUACCGGAUAGGAGCUCCUGCUGCAUGGUGGGGGUUGGAAAGUUUCGGCGGUUGGGGAUGGACUCGCGGCUUAUCAGCUUGUUGGUGGGGGAGUGGCUUACCAAGGCUUUGACGGGUAGCCGGCCUGAGAGGGUGACCGGCAACAUUGGGACUGAGAUACGGCCCGGACUCCUACGGGAGGCAGCAGUGGGGAAUAUUGCACAAUGGGCGGAAGCCUGAUGCAGCAACGCCGCGUGCGGGAUGACGGCCUUCGGGUUGUAAACCGCUUUCGCCUGUGACGAAGCGUGAGUGACGGUAAUGGGUAAAGAAGCACCGGCUAACUACGUG
rnacentral:rRNA from 1 species